rnacentral:rRNA from 1 species
UGGGGAAUAUUGCACAAUGGGCGCAAGCCUGAUGCAGCAACGCCGCGUGAGGGACGACGGCCUUCGGGUUGUAAACCUCUUUUAGUAGGGAAGAAGCGAAAGUGACGGUACCUGCAGAAAAAGCACCGGCUAACUACGUGCCAGCAGCCGCGGUAAUACGUAGGGUGCGAGCGUUGUCCGGAAUUAUUGGGCGUAAAGAGCUCGUAGGCGGUCUGUCGCGUCUGCUGUGAAAACCCGAGGCUCAACCUCGGGCCUGCAGUGGGUACGGGCAGACUAGAGUGCGGUAGGGGAGAAUGGAAUUCCUGGUGUAGCGGUGGAAUGCGCAGAUAUCAGGAGGAACACCGAUGGCGAAGGCAGUUCUCUGGGCCGUAACUGACGCUGAGGAGCGAAAGCGUGGGGAGCGAACAGGAUUAGAUACCCUGGUAGUCCACGCCGUAAACGUUGGGCGCUAGAUGUGGGGCACCAUUCCACGGUUUCCGUGUCGCAGCUAACGCAUU